rnacentral:lncRNA from 1 species
AUGUGGAGCACAACACUUUUGUUAUUUCAAUUAACCCCCCAAAAGUCCCUGAGAAUUUACUUUGAGAUGAGGAACGCCUCAACAGUAGCAGCCCUAGAAAGGCAUGAAGAGGAUGAACUUGGCAGAUUUUGGGAAGGAUUUGCUCAGAUACGGGGUAAAGUGCUAUGAUUCUGUCCUGAAAUGUUCUGGAUUCAUCUUAUAUAAGGAUUUGGAGGUUUGAAAAGUUCUGGAUUCAACUGUUGAUGAACAUCUGGGAGUCAUUACCAUACAGGUGGUACUUGAAACCUUAGAAGUGGUUGAGAUCAUCAAAGGAGAACACAAAGAAAGAAAAAUGGAAGGAGAGAAUCUGGAGCCUCACCAACAUAAGCUGCUGGCAAAGAAUAAUCCAGCCAAGGAGACAGAAGAAGUCAGAGGAGGAAAACCAAAAGAUAUAAAUAGACGAGUGUGUGUGUGUGUGUGUGUGUGUGUGUGUGGCAAGUCAAGAGAGAAGAGGGGGUGAAGAACUGAAUGGCUAAUGGUUCAGAGACUUUUGACUCAGAGAGGUCAGAUCAGAUAAAUACCGAAUGUGCCUGUUGGAAUGAAUUUGGCAAUUAUAAGAUCUUGGCUUGAGUAGUUUUGGCAGAGUGGUAUGGGCAAAAGCCAAGCUGCAAUACACUGAGAGAGUGAAAUGAAGUGACAAGAGUACUUCAUUAUAGACCUCCCUAAAGUCAUCUCGAAAGAGGUGUUUUCAACAAGAUUUUUUUCUCCUUUUUAAAUAUAAGCAGCGAAGAAGCCAGUGGAGACAAGGGGUUGAAAAGUAGGAGGGAGCUGAAAGUAGAACCAGUAAUAUGUAGUCAGUAAUUUUGUUGUCAUUGCAAGGCUGAAAGCAAGAGGAAGAUAUGUUUUAAAUCAAACAAGACACACAUAAUAACUAACAUUUAUCAAACACUAGACUGGGCAGGAAAUGUUCAUUGAAGAGAGAAUUGAAUGAAAUACUGCAAAACUUAUAUCUACAGUGUGCACUAACUCCAGGAUUCUAUUUUUUGGAAUAGUUUAGCUGUAUACUACCUGUAAGAUUGUUGGGAUGGAUUUGCUAUUUUCCAGGGAUUUAUCCUUGUAUAUAUCUUUUUUAAUGUUAACCAUGUCUUUGUACAUUAGAAAUUAUUUUCUGAUUACAUUUCAAUUCUUUGUUAUAGUGAUUGACUUGGCUUAGUUCAGUAUUCAGAGUAAUUUCUAUUUAGCAUAAGCAAAAUAAAAUCUGUAUGCUCUUUACUAUGAGCUUUUAA